AUGACUUCGAAGAUUCAGAAGUUCACAGCUCUGGGGGCAUUGAAAGCAUCCAAUUUGCUGCUUAUCAACAAGUUUUGAAAAAUGUAAUUUACUUUAUUUUCCCUCUUAUUCCUUUUUGGAUUUUCAAUUUUAGUUACACUUAGACUAAUUUUUUAUGUUCCUUUUUGUGGUUUCAGUACCAUGAAUUGAAGGUUUUGAAGAGGCAGCUCGCGAAAACUAUAUCUCUUGAGGCAAAGAAGCAAAAAUCUGCUAAAAGGCCCAAAGAAGUUUUUACCAGAUUUUCAGUCUCAAGCUUUUCAUCUAUUUUGGAUGCUCUUACACCUGAAAAUCGUGAAGUCAUUGAAAAUUCUGGGCUGGGAUCUCUUUUGCUUUUCUGAAAGUGCUAUGUGCCUAAUAAGUUUGUGAAGUGGGUAGCUGAGCUAGUGAAUUAUAGAUCAGCUGAUAUAGUUGUUGAUGGCAAGGUUAUCUCUCUUACAAAAGAAUCUGUGCAUUUAGUUCUUGGCCUUCCAAUGGGAGAUAAACAUUUCCCUUCCGAUCCUUCUGCGGGUAAAGCAAUUGUGCUGUCAAUGUUUGAGAAGCAGUCCUUGCCUUCAGUGAAGUUUUUUGCCAACAAAAUUCUAAAGCAUCAAACUCAGUCUGAUGAAGAAUUGAUCAUUUGUUUCAUUCUUGUUGCAAUGAACAGUUUUCUAUGUCCUAAUACUUCAAGUGUCCGUAGCUAUCGAUAUUUUGGUAUUUUUGAGGAUAUUAACAAUCUGAAUCAAUAUGAUUGGUGCGGUUAUAUUCCGGACUGGUUGCUUGAUUGUGUUAAAUCCUUUAAUCAUGGCAAAAGUAUAAGUUCAGGCUUUGGUGGUAGUCUUGGUGGUUGCUUGUACUACCUUGCUGUACUGUACCUAGAUUAUGUUGAUUUUGGAGUUCGCCAAGUCUUAGAUUCUAUUCCACGUAUUACUAUUUGGAAGGAUUCAAUGAUACAGACCUAUGCUCAGCUUGACAUGAAGUCUCCUGGUUCUUAUGGAUAUCACCCCUUACUUGAUGUUUCUCAUACCUUCUAUUCAAAGGAUUUAAGGUUUCUUUACAAUCCAAUGUGUGUCAAUAUAGAUUCUCAUUUUGCUGAGAAUUUGGACCAAUUUUCUGGUCGCAAGCUUCCUGAUUCUUUGAAGGCAAGCAUUUGCAAGCUUAUUCAGAACUACCUCUUCAACUCUUGGAGUGUCUGUUAAGCUGGAUGUCAAUCAUCAUCCCAAUGUUCAUGAAGUUGACGAAGAAAUGAAUUCUUCUGGGUCAAGUAGGAGACAGAAUCUUGGCAAUUCGGAUGCCCAGGAUGAUGUCCCUGGUUCUCAAUAUGAAGCUGAGAGAGCUACAAAUCCAUCUAGCCAUAUUCCCUGUGCAAAUCUUGCUCAGUUUUAUUCUUCACCUUCUGGAGCUUCUGAUGCUGCUAAUAACACUUGCAAACCCUCUACCCCCUUGCCUGUCCCCAAAUUACACCGUUCUCCUGUCAAUUCUACACCUUCAAAUGUUGAUAACGAUGUCAUUGCUAGGGUGAUGCAAAAUUUGACAAAGAACACACACUUUUGUCAUAAUGAAAUAAAAAAAUCAGAUGCUGGUCCAUCUAAAAUCAGACUUGAUAAGAGCGACGUGAUUAUGCUUGACAAGGAGAACUAUUAUGCUCCUGAUUCAAUUUCUCCAUCUCCUAAGCCAGGCAUGACCAGAUUUUUUUCUAAGCUGCUUCUGAUAAAGAUAAUGCAUCACCUCCAUUAUCUCAAAGGCGAGGAUGCAGUCAAUCUUUCAAGAGUCCGUUGCACCUUUUGGGCAUUAGGAGACUCUCUUAAACCGGGUGGAGUUGUGAAGUUUUUUGUGGUUUCUGUUUUUGCCUAUAGUCUGUUCUCAAAACCCAGUGGUCAUCCUGAUCAAUUGCUCAAGGAUGUAGAUGAAGCUGAUCAAGAUGUGUUGGCUCGAGCUUUUAGAAGAUCAUCAAAGGCUCGUCUUCUAAAUCAAUCCAAUAUGUUGUUUUAUCCUACUUUCUUCCAGGACCAUUGGUUUGUAUUUGUUGCAGACAUAAAGGAUCGUAUGUACGUUAUCCUUGAUUCAGUCUUUAAGAAAGAUGAUGAGUAUAAAGUUUUUGUCCGUGGAAGGCUGGUUAGUGUUUCUUUUUACCCUUUUUUCAUGAUUUUGCAAACACUCUGCCUAUCCAAAUUGUUAUUUAGAGUUACAUCAUAUUUGUGAUUACAGCAUAUUAUGGCAUGUCAGUUUUUAAUGUAUAGGCUGGUUAUCUAUUUUUGUUUGCAGAGAAAUUCUUUUCAAAUCCACUGGGAUAAAUAUGUGGGUCUGGAUAUGGGCUUUGAAAAUUAUGAGUUUGUUUACCCAGCAGUACCUGAACAGCCACCAGAAAAUACCACUGAUUCUGGAAUUUACUGUAUGAUGUUUCUUGAACACUAGAUGUCAACAAGAACUUCUCUUACAACUAUUUUCUCGCACACUGAUAUACCACAUAUUCGCAUUAAGAUUGCAAAUGAUUUGGUUUUCCAACCGAAGAAUUUAGGAAUGAAG